rnacentral:rRNA from 1 species
ACGCUGGCGGCGUGCCUAAUACAUGCAAGUAGAACUCUGAAGGAGGAGCUUGCUCUUCUGGAUGAGUUGCGAACGGGUGAGUAACGCGUAGGUAACCUGCCUGGUAGCGGGGGAUAACUAUUGGAAACGAUAGCUAAUACCGCAUAAGAGUAGAUGUUGCAUGACAUUUGCUUAAAAGGUGCAAUUGCAUCACUACCAGAUGGACCUGCGUUGUAUUAGCUAGUUGGUGGGGUAACGGCUCACCAAGGCGACGAUACAUAGCCGACCUGAGAGGGUGAUCGGCCACACUGGGACUGAGACACGGCCCAGACUCCUACGGGAGGCAGCAGUAGGGAAUCUUCGGCAAUGAACGGGAGUCUGACCGAGCAACGCCGCGUGAGUGAAGAAGGUUUUCGGAUCGUAAAGCUCUGUUGUAAGAGAAGAACGAGUGUGAGAGUGGAAAGUUCACACUGUGACGGUAUCUUACCAGAAAGGGACGGCUAACUACGUGCCAGCAGCCGCGGUAAUACGUAGGUCCCGAGCGUUGUCCGGAUUUAUUGGGCGUAAAGCGAGCGCAGGCGGUUAGAUAAGUCUGAAGUUAAAGGCUGUGGCUUAACCAUAGUACGCUUUGGAAACUGUUUAACUUGAGUGCAAGAGGGGAGAAGUGGAAUUCCAUGUGUAGCGGUGAAAUGCGUAAAUAUAUGGAGGAACA